rnacentral:rRNA from 1 species
UACGUAGGGUGCAAGCGUUGUCCGGAAUUAUUGGGCGUAAAGAGCUCGUAGGCGGUUCGUCGCGUCGGCUGUGAAAUCCCGAGGCUCAACCUCGGGUCUGCAGUCGAUACGGGCGGACUGGAGUUCGGCAGGGGAGACUGGAAUUCCUGGUGUAGCGGUGAAAUGCGCAGAUAUCAGGAGGAACACCGGUGGCGAAGGCGGGUCUCUGGGCCGAUACUGACGCUGAGGAGCGAAAGCGUGGGGGGCGAACAGG